AAGUGCUCUCGCCCCCUGCUUUGCCUCUCCUCUGUCAAUGCAGGUGAAGUCUUCUUAUGAAGUGGAUUUGCUCCUUCAUCUUUCAGUACAUGAUGUCAGUCUCAAGCAAUAGCAAGCCUUUUAUUUCCCAGAAGAUACUCAACACUGUGGGCAAACUAAUGACACAUGUUAAGGAAUUCAGUCUUAUGGAAAUCAUCUAGAGGUUUGGAAAUUAGCCACUUUCUUCUCUAUCAAGAAGAAAGACUAUGUUAUCCUCUCAUUUGCCUUCUGAACAGCAAGAAUGAAAAUUCUUUCCAAAAUCAUAGUGGGUUUUUCAAUAUCCACACAGAAAAAUCUCUAUGGAAAUAAUAAUUCAGUGUCUCUGGAUUACUCUUGGAUGUUUGGGUAGCAAUUUCAUGAUCAACCUAUUGUUUUACCUCCAACACAGCUUAACCCACAUUUUCAAGGAUGAAAAUUAACUUCUUAAGAAAAAAACUACUAUACAAUAAGCAAUCAAAAGUCUUGGAAGAAGGCUAGGUGGAAGAUUAAGCUAGUGCCGUUAAGCUGGAGUGGAUUGUCAUAAAUCACACAAAUGAAAAUAAAAGGGAAAUUUUGAAAAUGAGAACGCUAUCUUCACUGUUAGCAAUGUAGAGAUAUAGCUAAUGGAAACUGAAAAUAGGAAGCAUUUGUAUUCACUGUUUAAAAAGUGUGCAUAAACAUAUAUACAUAACCAACAAUUGGAAGCCAAUAAUCAUCAGUAUUGAUUAUUAUUAAAGGGUUGUUUAAAUAAAUUAUUGUACAUCAAACACAAGAGAAUACAGUGCAACAAAAGGUGAUGAUAUAGUCUGUUUAUCUGAUCCUACCCAAUAAUGAAUGCUAAUGCAUCCUAUUAAUACAUAUAGCAAUGUGACAUGUAUGUUAUAUAGGUAUAGAAAGUGAGUUCCAGAUAUGAUAAGGGAAAAGCAAAAUAUAGAGAAAGCAUAUUAUAUGUUUCCAUGUGCAUAUGGAUAUGUAUGUAUUUUAUUUCAAUAUGUAAAAAAAGGGUCAAAGACAUAAUUGCUCACUUAAAAGCAAACUCCAUUUCACUUUUACUUCUUUUGACAAAUUUUAACAAAAGCAUAUCAAUGUUAAAUCAGAAGAUAAUUUAGUUAAUGUAAAACAAUGAUUUAAAGAUUUAUAUGACAUAUUUUUGAUAUUCUAGUCAUGAAAAUCAUAAUUACCAUAGGAACAGCUUACUAUAAUGGCUUAUGCGGUAUAAAACUGAAGAAAGGCCAUUUCAUAUUGCAAGCUAUGAAACAAUUCAUUUGGGAUAAACAGCCAAACAGUACUGCUGGCAGGAUUGCCAGGUAAAACACCUUGUGGUUAUUUGCUGACUCCAUCAAAAGUAAAAGGUUAUAUUAUUUAUACAAUGUCAGAAAUUAAGAUAUUUCUUUGUGGUCAGAUUUUCUUGCUGUUUAAGUAAAAUUCUUGGCUGUUUAAAAUGAAAUUGUAUAUAGUAUUCUAGAGUUGUAUAAAUAUUGUUACAGAUUUUAAAGUAUAAGAUUUUAGAUACUAAUGAU
rnacentral:lncRNA from 1 species